GACGAAUGCUGGCUGCGUGCUUAACACAUGCAAGUCGAACGGUGAAGGGGAGCUUGCUCCCCGGAUCAGUGGCGAACGGGUGAGUAACACGUGGGCAACCUGCCCCUCACUCUGGGAUAACUCCGGGAAACCGGGGCUAAUACCGGAUACGACCGGGAGCGACAUCGCUCCUGGUGGAAAGAACUUCGGUGAGGGAUGGGCCCGCGGCCUAUCAGCUAGUUGGUGGGGUAACGGCCCACCAAGGCGACGACGGGUAGCCGGCCUGAGAGGGCGAACAGCCACACUGGACUGAGACACGGCCGAGACUCCUACGGGAGGCAGCAGUGGGGAAUAUUGCGCAAUGGGCGAAAGCCUGACGCAGCGACGCAGCGUGAGGGACGAAGGCCUUCGGGUUGUAAACCCCUUUCAGCGGGGACGAAGCGAAAGUGACGGUACCCGCAGAAGAAGCACCGGCUAACUACGUGCCAGCAGCCGCAGUAA
rnacentral:rRNA from 1 species